AGCCCCCGGCCACAAACACACCUCCCCCGUGUAGCCUCCACGACCCGCAGCAUACAGCGAGCCCCGCACCUGAGUACCCGACAUCUCGACCCUUCCCUUCCCUUCCCUCCCUUCGUCACUCGCGCGCGCGCGCACGCACGCACGCACGCUUGUUCCUCCCGCUGCUGGGCUAGCUAGAUCCCCAAAGCGGACGAGUUGGCCCGGAAGCUUCGUCCGGAAGCAUCGGCCUGUGGCGGCAGAGAGAGGAGCCGCUGCGCCCGGUGCGGCGGUCGCUUGAGGCCGCCGCGCGGAGGGCGGGCUGGGCGGGCGACGUGGCGACCGGGGUUAGCUUGCUGCUCGCCCGAGGAACCCUAAAUCAAUAUAUACAUAUUAAGGCAUACUGUGUUGCCCUUAAAUAACGUGUUUGAGAUUGUGGGAGAUAAACUCAUGGAUGCUCCUUCCAAGGCAUACUGUUAGUCGAGUAACUUUCAGGUGUAGGAAGUGUUAAGGGGAUACAUAAUCAGUUUUGAGCUGUGAGGCCCUGCAUUUGUGCUGCCUGCUGUUUGAUUCACAGCUCACUCUUUUCCUCCUACUCAUUCAAGCAAAGUACUGGAAUUUGUAAGCUCAGUUUAUUCAGGUCAUGGGAAUUGUUUGUCCUUAGCAGAGUUGAAGAUAAAGAGAGGAAGGCUAAACUCCGCUGACUCAGUUCAUGUGUGCAAUGAGCCAACUGCAAUAUAGGUUUUCAGUAGAUUAACACCAAUUGGGUCAAAGAAAAUAGAGAGGUUUAGGGGGAGGUAUGAGAUACUACUCGCGUCAAGUCCAGCGUUUGGCUGGAGACACAGAAGGAGGAGCGCUGUUGUUUGUAGACGCCCUCAACUCCAAGUAACAAAGCGACCAGUUGUCAACACUUCCUUUUAUUUUUGUAUUUUCCCUGGAAUUGGAGAUGGAGAUAAAUUCUUCGGGUGAGGAAACGGUGAUAAAGGUACGAAAGCCGUACACAAUAACAAAGCAGCGGGAGCGGUGGACCGAGGCAGAGCACAAACGGUUCCUUGAAGCCCUCAAACUGUAUGGCAGAGCUUGGCAGCGCAUAGAAGAGCAUGUCGGGACAAAGACGGCCGUGCAAAUCAGAAGCCAUGCUCAGAAGUUCUUCACCAAGGUUACUUUUCUAUCUUAUUGGCUAGUACCCUUGUCUGGUUUACUGCUAUACCCUUCGUUUUCGGGUUGUUUCAUCUUUAUUGUUGGUGAUAAAAUGGAAGACACACGCUUCAUAAUUUUUAUGUCUUUAUUUUACUGAAGUAUUUUCUUUCUUUCUUUCGUUGUACAGUUGUGUACUGCAGUGCUGAGCAUGAUGAAAGAUUCGUUUCCCUUGAAUAUCAUGAGAACCAUUCUUUAUCUAAUUGUUGCUCUGUUGAUUGAUUAAAAGAUCAAAUUAAAGCAUGUUGAAAUGGAUGAAACAGCUAGGAAGUCUUUCCUGAUUGUAACCAAUGAGUAAUGUUGCAGAGCAGAUGAUGUUGAACAACUCUGAUUCUCUCAUUGAUUGAUUUUACAUAUCCA